UCUCCCUCUGGCGGCAGGCUUAACACAUGCAAGUCGAGCGCCCCGCAAGGGGAGCGGCAGACGGGAGAGUAACACGUGGGAACAUACCUUUUGGUUCGGAACAACUGAGGGAAACUUCAGCUAAUACCGGAUAAGCCCUUACGGGGAAAGAUUUAUCGCCGAAAGAUUGGCCCGCGUCUGAUUAGCUAGUUGGUGAGGUAACGGCUCACCAAGGCGACGAUCAGUAGCUGGUCUGAGAGGAUGAUCAGCCUCACUGGGACUGAGACACGGCCCAGACUCCUACGGGGGGCAGCAGUGGGGAAUAUUGGACAAUGGGGGCAACCCUGAUCCAGCCAUGCCGCGUGAGUGAUGAAGGCCUUAGGGUUGUAAAGCUCUUUUGCCCGGGAAGAUAAUGACGGUACCGGGAGAAUAAGCCCCGGCUAACUUCGUG
rnacentral:rRNA from 1 species